rnacentral:tRNA from 1 species
AGAAAUUUAGGUUUAUCAAAACCAAGAGCCUUCAAAGCUCUAAAAAAGAGUACCAAUCUCCUAAUUUCUG